rnacentral:rRNA from 1 species
GACGGAGGAUGCAAGCGUUGUCCGGAUUUACUGGGCGUAAAGCGCGCGCAGGCGGCACUCUAAGUACGUCGUGAAAUAUCCCGGCUCAACCGGGAGGGUGCGAUGUAGACUAGGGAGCUAGAGGUCGGUAGAGGGGGGUGGAAUUGCUGGUGUAGCGGUGAAAUGCGUAGAGAUCAGCAGGAACACCCGUGGCGAAGGCGGCCCCCUGGGCCGUACCUGACGCUGAGGCGCGAAGGCUAGGGGAGCGAACGGG